CAUUGUACAGGACAUGUGUGUAAGAUUGUUAACUCCAAUCUCAAUUCAGAAAUCUUAACUGCAUGCAGGACAUACAUUUCUUGGAUUAACUCAGAAUCUAAGUUUGGACCCGAGAAGGCUAGCACUUUGAACAUGUAUGCUAUAAUGAAGUCUGGAUUCAAAGAAGUGGACAAUUCUCAGCCGUAGACCACAAAACCAUCUUGUAGUGGACAAUUUAGAUCUAUAUAGGUGCUAGGACUUAUGUACGUUAGCUAUGACUGAGAUAUUCUUUUCUUUUAGCGUAAUGGUUGAACACUUUUUAAUCUGAUUGGAGUGUAGUUGUUGGACACUUUAAUUUGUAAUAUGUUUCAACUAAAUUAGUUGAAUAUAUUUAUGUAUUGGAUUUUGAUUGUAUUUA